rnacentral:rRNA from 1 species
CCUACGGGUGGCUGCAGUGGGGAAUAUUGCACAAUGGGCGCAAGCCUGAUGCAGCCAUGCCGCGUGUGUGAAGAAGGCCUUCGGGUUGUAAAGCACUUUCAGCGGGGAGGAAGGCGUUAAGGUUAAUAACCUUGGCGAUUGACGUUACCCGCAGAAGAAGCACCGGCUAACUCCGUGCCAGCAGCCGCGGUAAUACGGAGGGUGCAAGCGUUAAUCGGAAUUACUGGGCGUAAAGCGCACGCAGGCGGUCUGUCAAGUCGGAUGUGAAAUCCCCGGGCUCAACCUGGGAACUGCAUUCGAAACUGGCAGGCUAGAGUCUUGUAGAGGGGGGUAGAAUUCCAGGUGUAGCGGUGGAAUGCGUAGAGAUCUGGAGGAAUACCGGUGGCGAAGGCGGCCCCCUGGACAAAGACUGACGCUCAGGUGCGAAAGCGUGGGGAGCAAACAGGAUUAGAUACCCCUGUAGUC